GGAGUUCCUCAUUUUUGGUAUUCAAAUAUUUAUUAGGCUUUAGAUCUUUCAAACGAGGAAGUUGCUACACUUGCAGAUGCAAAAGCAUCAAUUAAAAUUAAUGCUCAAACAGUUCAUAAUGCUUAUCAAGUUGCCUUAGAGCAUGCUAGGCCAAAUAUUCCAACCCCUACUUCGUCUAGCUCACAAUCGUCUAAAAAAGCUGCGAACUUAACAACUCUUAAAUCUUGGAC
rnacentral:lncRNA from 1 species